rnacentral:rRNA from 1 species
UACCUUAUGACUCUUUCGGGAUAAAGAUUUAUCGCCAAAAGAUGUGUCCGCAGGCUCUUAGAAAAUUAAUGAGAUAUUGUCUCACCAUGGCGAAGAACAAAAACAGGGCUGAGGGGGACGAUCAGCCACACUGGGACUGAGACACGGCCCACACUUAUACGGGAGGCAGCNGUGGGGAAUAUUGGACAAUGGGGGCAACCUUGAUCCAGCCAUGCCGCGUGAGUGAUGAAGGCCUUCGGGUUGUAAAGCUCUUUUGGCGGGGACGAUGAU